ACGAUGUAGCCACAGCCACCCUGGGGCGCACUGACAGAGGCGAGGCUGCCGGACACUGGCGCCACCGGGCCCUCUGACCACCACCAGUAGGCAACGGGUGAAGUGUCUUGCCCAAGGACACAACGACCGAGACUGUCCAAGCCGGGGCUCGAACCGGUAACCUUCCGAUUACAAGGCGAACUCCCAACUCUUGAGCCACGAUCGCAGUUGACACAUUUGUGUCUGCUCCCUGGUUUGAGACCUGGAUAAGACAGGAACAUCAGCUUACUGGUUAUAACUGGAAACCCAGCAAUCCUCAGUCCGCUGAAUGUCAGAAUGGGACUUCUGUUCGGGAGCGUAUAAGAGGAAAAGGCAGCAACUUCAAAGUGGAUAACAACCAUAUUUGAAUCAUCUAAGGUUUUGCAUUUUGGCACUGACAUUCUUGCUUGUAUCUUGCACAGGAUACACUGUUUAUGCGUUUUGAUGGCUGGUUAAAACAACUCUGAAUGAUUUUCCAGAAUCUCAAACAAACUAAGUAAAGCUUACUUAAGAUAACUAUGUUAAGACAACUUAUUCAUUGCAAGUAUACAGUACUAAGAAUAACUUGAUGUUUCUGACUUUAUCAUCCUAGAAAUUUCUAGUACAACACUUAUAUUAAUAUAGCACUGUGUGCAAGCAUGAUUUAAGAAUAAUUAACAACACUUCUUGUAAUGGUGUUAAAAUCAGCCCAACUUUUAUUUUCAAAUGCAAAAAGGUAUAUCAGCCAACAUACUGGACACUGUUCUGCUGAACAAUAGACAAUUAUAUUGCCAUCAUUGUUAUAAUCUUACAAUGAAACAAAGUCUCAGAUUUAAUUAUUCUGAAACUAAGUUUAGGCUUUCCACAACUUUGUUUUGCAAGUUACAUUAAUUAUAUAAUCAAAAGAAAAUAUAUUUAUUGCGUAGCCACAAGUGCAGUCUUUAGAUCAAACAACACCUUUGUUUUGCAUUCAAACACAGAAGCUUGGUAUAUUGUAAUAUUUUAAGGAUGACUUGUUUCCAGUCCAGGCAUUAUUGCCUGAAUGACUGUCAUGGAUUGAGGCGAUCCAAGUGCAGAAGAAAGUCUUUAACUUCCCUUAAGUACAGUGGCAGUGGAUGUGGGUUGGAGAUGCAAUGAGCUUGAACCUGCAGUGACCAUCUUCACUGACCACACCAUCUGUGACAGAGGAUGCAUCUCUCCUGGUGUCCUGCAAGCAAGCAAUCAGAUUUUUUAGAUCACCAUCUUAUUUGCUUUCUUAAAACAUUGUUUUUUGCAUUUGCUAUAAAACAAGCCCCGAUUUCGACAAUCCCAGGCUUCCUCCCCACCGGAGAGGUGACAUUCAAUGUCCCACCUGUCAGUCUGGAUAGCCCUGACCACCACCCAACACACAAUAAUGUCGGGAAAGCUUAUUUUUUAAAAGGGGCUCUUUAAUAAUGACCAAUAACUUUUCAUUCUUAUGAUCUGCAGAAUAAUUUAGGCACAAAACAAAUUUCAAUGUUCAAAACUUGCAGACUUCACUACAUACAUCGUGGCCUCUCUAAACUAAGUUUGUGGCAUAUGAUCUUUCAAGAAGUAUCUUUAGAGAAAAAUCAGGCCUUCAGCUACAGUUUGUGAGAUAACACUAAACCGCACACAGUCAAAUGACUGCAAUGAUUCCUCAAAAGUAGCUGCCAUUGUGAAAAUCAGUGUGUAAAUUAAGAAAUCUAUAAGGCAUGUAAGAAGACAGUGAGUCAUAGCUUCUAAAAACCAGUUUAAGCCUCAAAAUGCAGACAGCCCACAUUGAUUUAAAAACCCUCCCACCGUGCCUUUUACGUGGUUGAUUUCUUAUCUGAAACAGUAAUAUUUCAGUGACUGCUGCUUAUAUCACAGAUUAAUACACUCUACAGAUCCCUGCUGGGAGAAUCAUUACCUCUGCCAGCAAAGACGUUUGGUGGAUUUUAUGUUUGGUUUUGUGAGGAAGCAAAGCUGUGUGUCUGUGUAAAAAUGUGUUAAACCUUAAUAAAAAGGUUAUUCUUAAAUACACUAGUGCCUUUGUAACAAUGCAGGGCGGUGAGCAUGGGAGUAGUUGGAGGCUGCAUGUCCCACUGGACACUGGAUUAAUUAAAAUAGUUGUUUAUUUUAUUUCUAAACUUCACUAUUUCAUUCAUUAUUUCAUGGUUUCUUUGCAUCCCAAGUUUAUUUCAUCUGUAGUACUUACCCAUCGGUAUAUGUUCCCUGUGUUUGCUUACAUUAAAAUACCAGUACUGAUGAGCAGAGCAUAUAAAUGCAGCACUUUUUAUAUUUGACAAUGUAUUUUGAAAGCACAAGACAAAUCACAAACUGUUUUAAUUUAGGUCUUUCUUUUUAUUUUGUUUUAUUUUUCAGUUGUUGAUUUUAUGGUGAUGUGAUGCUAAAUUACAUAUUUUUAAGAUUCAGUUGAAUUUGUCAGGGUCCCUGUGCCUACCCGGUCGGCUCAGCAUGGCUACAUAUGUUUUAUUUUCAUUUUUGUUCCUGCUCUCUCCCUUCCUCUCUUUCCCUCCUCCCUCGGCCUGGGCGGAGCUCACCUGUGGGCUCCUGCCCCUGACCCACGCACCUGUGGCUCAUCAUGAGAGUGUUCCAGCUCCUUUAUAAGAUGGCAGCUUUGUGUCUCUCGUCGCUGGACCGUUGCCGACCCUCAUUCCCUGGACCCACCCCUGUGUUUUCUGAAGUGAUCGAGUGUGCGUAAGUGUCAGGGGAAAAUUUCCCAAAUAGAAAGCUGCCAAAGUAAAAC
ensembl:lncRNA